rnacentral:rRNA from 1 species
AUUGAACGCUGGCGGCAUGCCUUACACAUGCCAGUCGAACGGCAGCACGGGUGCUUGCACCUGGUGGCGAGUGGCGAACGGGUGAGUAAUACAUCGGAACAUGUCCUGUAGUGGGGGAUAGCCCGGCGACAGCCGGAUUAAUACCGCAUACGAUCUACGGAUGAAAGCGGGGGACCUUCGGGCCUCGCGCUAUAGGGUUGGCCGAUGGCUGAUUAGCUAGUUGGUGGGGUAAAGGCCUACCAAGGCGACGAUCAGUAGCUGGUCUGAGAGGACGACCAGCCACACUGGGACUGAGACACGGCCCAGACUCCUACGGGAGGCAGCAGUGGGGAAUUUUGGACAAUGGGCGAAAGCCUGAUCCAGCAAUGCCGCGUGUGUGAAGAAGGCCUUCGGGUUGUAAAGCACUUUUGUCCGGAAAGAAAGCCUUGGCCCUAAUACGGUCGGGGGAUGACGGUACCGGAAGAAUAAGCACCGGCUAACUACGUG